ensembl:snoRNA
GAGUAGACAGAAUAGCAUCCCUCUCAAUAUUCAUAGCUAAGAAAAGACAUUUCUGAUGUACUAAACAAAACUUUGGAGGUAAAUUAGCACCAUGACUAAUUUAGCCAUUGCUGUCAGCCACCUUCAGAUAAGU